GGAUGUGAAAUCCCCGGGCUCAACCUGGGAACUGCAUUCGAAACUGGCAGGCUAGAGUCUUGUAGAGGGGGGUAGAAUUCCAGGUGUAGCGGUGAAAUGCGUAGAGAUCUGGAGGAAUACCGGUGGCGAAGGCGGCCCCCUGGACAAAGACUGACGCUCAGGUGCGAAAGCGUGGGGAGCAAACAGGAUUAGAUACCCUGGUAGUCCACGCUGUAAACGAUGUCGAUUUGGAGGUUGUGCCCUUGAGGCGUGGCUUCCGGAGCUAACGCGUUAAAUCGACCGCCUGGGGAGUACGGCCGCAAGGUUAAAACUCAAAUGAAUUGACGGGGGCCCGCACAAGCGGUGGAGCAUGUGGUUUAAUUCGAUGCAACGCGAAGAACCUUACCUGGUCUUGACAUCCACAGAACUUUCCAGAGAUGGAUUGGUGCCUUCGGGAACUGUGAGACAGGUGCUGCAUGGCUGUCGUCAGCUCGUGUUGUGAAAUGUUGGGUUAAGUCCCGCAACGAGCGCAACCCUUAUCCUUUGUUGCCAGCGGUUAGGCCGGGAACUCAAAGGAGACUGCCAGUGAUAAACUGGAGGAAGGUGGGGAUGACGUCAAGUCAUCAUGGCCCUUACGACCAGGGCUACACACGUGCUACAAUGGCAUAUACAAAGAGAAGCGACCUCGCGAGAGCAAGCGGACCUCAUAAAGUAUGUCGUAGUCCGGAUUGGAGUCUGCAACUCGACUCCAUGAAGUCGGAAUCGCUAGUAAUCGUAGAUCAGAAUGCUACGGUGAAUACGUUCCCGGGCCUUGUACACACCGCCCGUCACACCAUGGGAGUGGGUUGCAAAAGAAGUAGGUAGCUUAACCUUCGGGAGGGCGCUUACCACUUUGUGAUUCAUGACUGGGGUGAAGUCGUAACAAGGUAACCGUAGGGGAACCUGCGGUUGGAUCACCUCCUUA
rnacentral:rRNA from 1 species